rnacentral:rRNA from 1 species
AUUGAACGCUGGCGGCAGGCCUAACACAUGCAAGUCGAACGGUAGCACAGAGAGCUUGCUCUUGGGUGACGAGUGGCGGACGGGUGAGUAAUGUCUGGGAAACUGCCCGAUGGAGGGGGAUAACUACUGGAAACGGUAGCUAAUACCGCAUAACGUCUUCGGACCAAAGUGGGGGACCUUCGGGCCUCACACCAUCGGAUGUGCCCAGAUGGGAUUAGCUAGUAGGUGGGGUAAUGGCUCACCUAGGCGACGAUCCCUAGCUGGUCUGAGAGGAUGACCAGCUACACUGGAACUGAGGCACGGUCCAGACUCCUACGGGAGGCAGCAGUGGGGAAUAUUGCACAAUGGGCGCAAGCCUGAUGCAGCCAUGCCGGGUGUAUGAAGAAGGCCUUCGGGUUGUAAAGUACUUUCAGCGGGGAGGAAGGCGGUGGAGUUAAUAGCUUCAUCGAUUGACGUUACCCGCAGAAGAAGCACUGGCUAACUCCGUGCCAGCAGCCGCCGUAA